rnacentral:rRNA from 1 species
UGUCUUUUGAGUACCUUACGUUUCCUCGGCGGGUCCGCCCGCCGACUGGACAAUUUAAACCACUUGCAGUUGCAAUCAGCGUCUGAAAAAACUUAAUAGUUACAACUUUCAACAACGGAUCUCUUGGUUCUGGCAUCGAUGAAGAACGCAGCGAAAUGCGAUAAGUAGUGUGAAUUGCAGAAUUCAGUGAAUCAUCGAAUCUUUGAACGCACAUUGCGCCCCUUGGUAUUCCAUGGGGCAUGCCUGUUCGAGCGUCAUUUGUACCUUCAAGCCUUGCUUGGUGUUGGGUGUUUGUCUCGCCUCUGCGCGUAGACUCGCCUCAAAACAAUUGGCAGCCGGCGUAUUGAUUUCGGAGCGCAGUACAUCUCGCGCUUUGCACUCAGAACGACGACGUCCAAAAGUACAUUUUUACACUCUUGACCUCGGAUCAGGUAGGGAUACCCGCUGAACUUAAGCAUAU